rnacentral:hammerhead_ribozyme from 1 species
AUCCAGCCGACGAGUUCCAAAUAGGACGAAACGCGCAUCCUGGAU